GAUGUAGAGAAUUUAUGCAUCAAAUAUUGAUCUAAUAAAAAUCCUUUAGUUUUCGAGAUAAAAUUGAUUGAAAAUCUGUUAAAAUUUGCGUGUGCGCUACUGAUUCCAAAAAUGUUAAAGCCCAUCAUUUUUUGACGUUUUUGCAAUUUUUUGGAAGAACAAAAUGAAUUUUUCUAAUUCUGAAAUGACUGACAUGGUUCUGAUGUAUGGACAAGCCUUAAGAAACUCCUUGGAAGCUCGACGUUUAUACCAAGAAGCAUUUCCCGAACGAAGAUUGCCAAAUCAUAAAACAUGUGCUAACGUUGUUCAGCGUCUACGAGAAAAUGGGAAAUUUUGACCUUGUUUUAGUGAUCGUGGUCGUGAAAGGACAGAACAGACACUUGAUGCCGAAGAAGAAAUUUUGAAUGUCGUUGAAAACGAUCCAGGUAUAAGCAUUAGACGAUUGUCUUACCGAGUGGGAGUUUCACCUUUUGUGGUGUGGAGAACUCUACAUGAACAAGGCAACAAUCAUUGAUUAGACGUGCGGAAGCGUGUAUACGAAAUGGUGGUGGACAUUUUGAAAACUUGCUCUAGUUGCAUACGUUACGUUUUGUUUCAUUUUAUGGUUGAUUAAAUUAUGAUUUUGAAGUUUUAAUUGUCAGUUCAUUAAUUAUUGUCAUUGUUUAUUUGUUGCUAGCAAUAAAUUAAUAGCAACAGUAGUUA